CCUACGGGUGGCAGCAGUGGGGAAUAUUGGACAAUGGGGGCAACCCUGAUCCAGACAUGCCGCGUGUGUGAAGAAGGCCCUCGGGUUGUAAAGCACUUUCAGUGAGGAAGAACGCCUGGUGGUUAAUACCCAUCAGGAAAGACAUCACUCACAGAAGAAGCACCGGCUAACUCCGUGCCAGCAGCCGCGGUAAUACGGAGGGUGCGAGCGUUAAUCGGAAUUACUGGGCGUAAAGCGCGCGUAGGUGGCUUGAUAAGCCGGUUGUGAAAGCCCCGGGCUCAACCUGGGAACGGCAUCCGGAACUGUCAAGCUAGAGUGCAGGAGAGGAAGGUAGAAUUCCCGGUGUAGCGGUGAAAUGCGUAGAGAUCGGGAGGAAUACCAGUGGCGAAGGCGGCCUUCUGGACUGACACUGACACUGAGGUGCGAAAGCGUGGGUAGCAAACAGGAUUAGAUACCCCAGUAGUC
rnacentral:rRNA from 1 species